GAGGAAAGCGGGCGGCGUGCCUAAUACAUGCAAGUCGAGCGAACAGACGAGGAGCUUGCUCCUUCGACGUUAGCGGCGGACGGGUGAGUAACACGUAGGUAACCUACCUAUAAGACUGGGAUAACUUCGGGAAACCGGAGCUAAUACCGGAUAAUAUUUCGAACCGCAUGGUUCGAUAGUGAAAGAUGGCUUUGCUAUCACUUAUAGAUGGACCUGCGCCGUAUUAGCUAGUUGGUAAGGUAACGGCUUACCAAGGCAACGAUACGUAGCCGACCUGAGAGGGUGAUCGGCCACACUGGAACUGAGACACGGUCCAGACUCCUACGGGAGGCAGCAGUAGGGAAUCUUCCGCAAUGGGCGAAAGCCUGACGGAGCAACGCCGCGUGAGUGAUGAAGGUCUUCGGAUCGUAAAACUCUGUUAUUAGGGAAGAACAAACGUGUAAGUAACUGUGCACGUCUUGACGGUACCUAAUCAGAAAGCCACGGCUAACUACGUG
rnacentral:rRNA from 1 species